UGAUGGGAGGGCAGAGGCAUGAGAGGGUGCUAAGGGACUAAACGCCAUGGCCACAGGAGUCAAGAAGUGCACAGAGGGCAUGGAUGCGUUGGAAAGGGGAGGUGCUGGCCUUUUAAAGAUCAUAUGGCUUGGACAAGGAACAUGCUGCUUUAAAUAAUUUCUAUUAAUAGCCUUUUCUGAACAAUCACAGAGAAAGUCUUCUGAAUAAUCAUACUGAGAACUUAAACUUCCACAGGAGCACUGAGAUCUGCUAUAAUCAACACUCUUAUUGGAAGCAUUACUGUUCCGUGAAAAAUCGCCUGUGCCUGGGCUUCUCUUGCAUUCUGCAGACCUCCUAUUGUUUUCUAAUGCCAUGCUGGAGAAAUGCUCAUCUAUAUUUGUUUUUGUUAGAUCAGCCAAAGACAUAGCAAACAACCUAAUAAAAGAAAAGUAAAACCUAA
rnacentral:sRNA from 1 species